rnacentral:rRNA from 1 species
GGUGAAGCGGGGGAAGCAGCCGCGGUAAGGGAGAGGGGGCAAGCGUUGUUCGGAAUUACUGGGCGUGAAGGGCGAGUAGGGGGCCUUCUAAGGCAGACGGGAAAGCCCCCGGCGUAACCGGGGAACUGCGUCUGAUACUGGGAGGCUUGAGUAUGGGAGAGGGAUGCAGAAUGCCAGGUGUAGCGGUGAAAUGCGUAGAUAUCUGGAGGAAUACCGGUGGCGAAGGCGGCAUCCUGGACCAUAACUGACACUGAAUCGCGAAAGCUAGGGGAGCAAACGGGAUUAGAUACCCGUGUAGUC